rfam:Myotis brandtii contig160000, whole genome shotgun sequence.
CUCGGGGAGAGGGGGCGCCCUCAGCCUGGAUUGCAAGAGGGAGCAGGCCAGGCUGAGGGACCCCAUCGGUGCACG